AGGGAGCCACCCUGAAGAUCACCCUGGA
rnacentral:piRNA from 1 species